AGUGAACGCUGGCGGCAGGCCUAAUACAUGCAAGUCGAACGACAGCACAGUGGAGCUUGCUCCAUGGGUGGCGAGUGGCGGACGGGUGAGGAAUACAUGGGAUCUGCCCAGUCGUGGGGGAUAACGUAUGGAAACGUACGCUAAUACCGCAUGCGCCCUUCGGGGAAAGUCGGGGACCGCAAGGCCUGACGCGAUUGGAUGAGCCCAUGUUCGAUUAGCUAGUUGGCGGGGUAACGGCCCACCAAGGCGACGAUCGAUAGCUGGUCUGAGAGGAUGAUCAGCCACACUGGAACUGAGACACGGUCCAGACUCCUACGGGAGGCAGCAGUAGGGAAUAUUGGACAAUGGGCGCAAGCCUGAUCCAGCCAUGCCGCGUGAGUGAAGAAGGCCCUCGGGUUGUAAAGCUCUUUUGUUGGGGAAGAAAAGCAGUUGGUAAUACCGAUUGUUCUGACGGUACCAAAGAAUAAGCACCGGCUAACUUCGUGCCAGCAGCCGCGGUAA
rnacentral:rRNA from 1 species